CGGGUGAGUAACGCGUGAGUAACCUGCCCUGGAGUGGGGGACAACAGUUGGAAACGACUGCUAAUACCGCAUAAGCCCACGGAGCCGCAUGGCUCUGAGGGAAAAGGAUUUAUUCGCUUCAGGAUGGACUCGCGUCCAAUUAGCUAGUUGGUGAGGUAACGGCCCACCAAGGCGACGAUUGGUAGCCGGACUGAGAGGUUGAACGGCCACAUUGGGACUGAGACACGGCCCAGACUCCUACGGGAGGCAGCAGUGGGGGAUAUUGCACAAUGGGGGAAACCCUGAUGCAGCGACGCCGCGUGGAGGAAGAAGGUUUUCGGAUUGUAAACUCCUGUCGUUAGGGACGAUAAUGACGGUACCUAACAAGAAAGCACCGGCUAACUACGUGCCAGCAGCCGCGGUAAAACGUAGGGUGCAAGCGUUGUCCGGAAUUACUGGGUGUAAAGGGAGCGCAGGCGGACCGGCAAGUUGGAAGUGAAAACCAUGGGCUCAACCCAUGAAUUGCUUUCAAAACUGCUGGCCUUGAGUAGUGCAGAGGUAGGCGGAAUUCCCGGUGUAGCGGUGGAAUGCGUAGAUAUCGGGAGGAACACCAGUGGCGAAGGCGGCCUACUGGGCACCAACUGACGCUGAGGCUCGAAAGUAUGGGUAGCAAACAGGAUUAGAUACCCUGGUAGUCCAUACCGUAAACGAUGAUUACUAGGUGUUGGAGGAUUGACCCCUUCAGUGCCGCAGUUAACACAAUAAAGUAAUCCACCUGGGGAGUACGACCGCAAGGUUGAACUCAAAGGAAUUGACGGGGG
rnacentral:rRNA from 1 species